UACGAGGGUGGCAAACGUUAUCCGGAUUUAUUGGGUGUAAAGCGUCCCCAGGCGGUCUGAUUAGUUUUUGGUUAAAUCUUUGGGCCUAACCCAAAAACCGCCAAAAAUACUGUCAGACUAGAGACCGGGAGAGGUUAGUGGAAUAGCCGGUGUAGUAGUAAAAUGCGUUAAUAUCGGCUAGAACACCAAUAGCGAAGGCAACUAACUAGAACGGUUCUGACGCUCAUAGGACGAAAGCGUGGGUAGCAAAUGGG
rnacentral:rRNA from 1 species